rnacentral:rRNA from 1 species
UACGUAGGCAGCAAGCGUUGUUCGGAAUUACUGGGCGUAAAGAGUGUGUAGGCGGUGCUCUAAGUUCGGUGUGAAAUCUCCUGGCUCAACUGGGAGGGUGCGCCGGAAACUGGGGUGCUGGAGCGCGGGAGAGGAAAGCGGAAUUCCUGGUGUAGCGGUGAAAUGCGUAGAUAUCGGGAGGAACACCAGUGGCGAAGGCGAUCACCUGGGGUUGUUCUGACGCUGAGGAGCGAAAGCUAGGGGAGCAAACGGG